rnacentral:rRNA from 1 species
UACAGAGGCCCCAAGCGUUACUGAGAAUCACUGGGCUUAAAGGGUGCGUAGGUGGCGCGUUAAGUCCGUUGUGAAAUCCCUUGGCUCAACCAAGGAACUGCUUCGGAUACUGGCGUGCUUGAGGCUAGUAGAGGUCACUGGAACUGACGGUGGAGCGGUGAAAUGCGUAGAUAUCGUCAGGAACGCCAAUGGUGAAGACAGGUGACUGGGCUAGUUCUGACACUGAGGCACGAAAGCGUGGGGAGCGAACGGG